rnacentral:rRNA from 1 species
GACGAACGCUGGCGGCGUGCUUAACACAUGCAAGUCGAACGGAAAGGCCCUGCUUGCAGGGUACUCGAGUGGCGAACGGGUGAGUAACACGUGGGGGAUCUGCCCUGCACUUCGGGAUAAGCCUGGGAAACUGGGUCUAAUACCGGAUAGGAGCCAUCUUUAGUGUGAUGGUUGGAAAGUUUUUUCGGUGUAGGAUGAGCUCGCGGCCUAUCAGCUUGUUGGUGGGGUAAUGGCCUACCAAGGCGGCGACGGGUAGCCGGCCUGAGAGGGUGGACGGCCACCUUGGGACUGCGAUACGGCCCAGACUCCUACGGGAGGCAGCAGUGGGGAGUAUUGCACAAUGGGCGCGAGCCUGAUGCAGCGACGCCGCGUGGGGGAUGCCGGCCUUCGGGUUGUAAACUCCUUUCGCUAGGGACGAAGCUUUUUGUGACGGUACCUAGAUAAGAAGCACCGGCUAACUACGUG